GAUUAGCUAGUAGGUGGGGUAAAGGCUCACCAAGGCGACGAUCAAUAGCUGGUCUGAGAGGACGACCAGCCACACUGGAACUGAGACACGGUCCAGACUCCUACGGGAGGCAGCAGUGGGGAAUUUUGGACAAUGGGGGCAACCCUGAUCCAGCCAUGCCGCGUGCGGGAAGAAGGCCUUCGGGUUGUAAACCGCUUUUGUCAGGGACGAAAAGCUCCGGAGUAAUAUGCCGGAGUGCUGACGGUACCUGAAGAAUAAGCACCGGCUAACUACGUGCCAGCAGCCGCGGUAAUACGUAGGGUGCGAGCGUUAAUCGGAAUUACUGGGCGUAAAGCGUGCGCAGGCGGUUGGGUAAGACAGAUGUGAAAUCCCCGGGCUUAACCUGGGAACUGCAUUUGUGACUGUCCGACUGGAGUACGUCAGAGGGGGGUGGAAUUCCACGUGUAGCAGUGAAAUGCGUAGAUAUGUGGAAGAACACCGAUGGCGAAGGCAGCCCCCUGGGACGCAACUGACGCUCAUGCACGAAAGCGUGGGGAGCAAACAGG
rnacentral:rRNA from 1 species